UGUGCAAGCCGUCUUAUCGCCCCGAUAACAAUCGGGGAGGAAAGUCCGGGCAACAUAGAGUACCGCACUUCCUAACAGGAAGGCUUCGAUCCUGAUCCCGAUCCCGAUAGUUAUCGGGAUCGGGGUCGGAAUCGGAGACAGAUAGUGCCACAGAAAACAAACUACCCCUCCCGAUGUAUCGGGAGGGGAAAAGGUGAAAAGGUGAGGUAAGAGCUCACCGCCCCAAUGGUAACUGCGGGGGCAUGGUAAACCUUGCGGGUUGAAAGACCAAAUAUGUAGUGAGGGGCUUCUCGUUCCACUUGAGCUACGGGUAGGUCGCUUGAUCCCGAUAGCGAUGUCGGGACUAGAUAAAUGAUAAGACCCCGACUAGUCGGGGACAGAACCCGGCUUAUAGGCUUGCAUUUUUU
rnacentral:RNase_P_RNA from 1 species